CAACUCCCCUCAAGUAUCACAGUUUGUAAGUGGAUCUUUCUUUUAUUCUGUAAGAAUUGUAGAGAAGAAAGGCACACAAAUCUCUCUCACCCUCUCUCCCUCACACAAUUUCUCUCCAAUUUUUCCCUUCUCCUUCCAUAAUAAAGAAGGAUCCCACAAUCCAUUCCUUGUCGAACAAUAGCGAGGAAGAUCUGGUGGUAGUGUCUUGGUUCUGUUCGUGGAAUUUCUGGGAGUUCCUAAGGAGAAUGAUUACGUCAUAGAAAGUCUUCAAGGUUGAAGCUUUCAUCAAAGCCUGUUCAUGUAAUUCCAACAGUCAGUAAGAAAAUGUCAAUAUUAUAUUGUUCUUGGAGAAACUUGAGGUAAUGGAUUAGGAGCUGACCAUCUUAAAGUUCUGCAUAGAAAUGAACCCGUUUUUGUUCGGACCUAAGAGAUCAAAUUGUUCUCGAAGAUAAGCAAGCUGCACGAAGGAUAAUGUCUUUGCAAGAGCCUGUCAGAAAUGCAGAACUUUAUUCCCAUAGUCCAGGGCUUCCAUAUCAAGUCUAAAAUGUUUCAUAGCAAAGUAUACUGCACUUUUAGCAUGACUCUCCUUUUGUGAUCAAUGAAAAAUCAUCUAUGCUUUUGAAAUAGUUAUCAAA